rnacentral:rRNA from 1 species
UGGCUCAGAACGAACGCUGGCGGCAGGCCUAACACAUGCAAGUCGAACGCCCUAGCAAUAGGGAGUGGCAGACGGGUGAGUAACACGUGGGAACCUUCCCUAUAGUACGGAAUAGCUCAGGGAAACUUGAAGUAAUACCGUAUACGCCCGAGAGGGGAAAGAUUUAUCGCUAUAGGAUGGGCCCGCGUCGGAUUAGCUAGUUGGUGAGGUAAUGGCUCACCAAGGCGACGAUCCGUAGCUGGUUUGAGAGAACGACCAGCCACACUGGGACUGAGACACGGCCCAGACUCCUACGGGAGGCAGCAGUGGGGAAUAUUGGACAAUGGGCGCAAGCCUGAUCCAGCCAUGCCGCGUGAGUGAUGAAGGCCUUAGGGUUGUAAAGCUCUUUAGCAGGGAAGAUAAUGACUGUACCUGCAGAAUAAGCUCCGGCUAACUUCGUG